rnacentral:rRNA from 1 species
ACGAACGCUGGCGGCGCGCCUAAUACAUGCAAGUCGAACGGACUGGCUUCGGCCAGUCAGUGGCGGACGGGUGAGUAACACGUGGGUGACCUGCCCUCAAGUGGGGAAUAACGCUGCGAAAGCAGCGCUAAUACCGCAUACCCUUCAGCCGUCAGGGGCGGAAGGAAAGCUUUGGCGCUUGAGGAGGGGCCUGCGGCCGAUUAGCUAGUCGGGGGGUAAUGGCCCACCGAGGCGACGAUCGGUAGCUGGUCCGAGAGGAUGAUCAGCCACACUGGGACUGAGACACGGCCCAGACUCCUACGGGAGGCAGCAGUGGGGAAUUUUCCGCAAUGGGCGAAAGCCUGACGGAGCAAUGCCGCGUGGAGGU